rnacentral:lncRNA from 10 species
AGGGGACCUUCACUGGGUGCACUGGCUCACGCCUGUAAUCCCAGCACUUUGGGAGGCCAAGGUGGGAGGAUCACCUGAGGUCAGGAGUUCCAGUCCAGCCUGGCCAACACGGUGAAACCCUGUCUCUCCCAAAAAUACAAAAUUAGCUGGGCGUGGUGGCACAUGCCUGUAAUCCCAGCUACUCGGGAGGCUGAGGUGGGAGGAUCACCUGAGGUCAGAAGUUCAAGACCAGCCUGGCCAACACGGUGAAACCCCAUAUCUACUAAAAAUACAAAAAUUAGCCGGGCGUGGUGGCGGGCGCCUGUAGUCUCAGCUACUCGGGAGGCUGAGGUGG